ACUGCCUGGUAAAAAGAUCCAAAUGUCCAAACCGACACUCUCUUUUUGUUCUUCAAAGACACACGGUAUCGUUUUCUGGUUUUCUUAUCUUGGAUUCGAUUUCUUCAGAUAGAAAAAAUCUCAAAAUCUUCUCAUCAAUUCUUGAUCCAUUUCUUCAAUUCAAAUCAAGCUGAAUUUGAAGUACCCCUCCAUUAAUUAGUAAAACCCUAAUUAUCAGUAUUUCAAAUACAGGAACUGAAACAGAAGGUUCUUGCUUUCAUUUCUAGGGUUUUGAAGCUUCAAUCGUCUAUUAAAGUUGGGCAUUGUGAACAAAUAGAGUCAAAUGAUUCGAACAAUAGUGAUGGCGAAGAAACACCAUUACAUGUGUUUGAAAUGGAAACUUUGGAUUCCGAUAGACGCAGAAGUUUUUGUAUUGAUCAACAAUUUGAUUCAAUGGAUGCAUUAGAGAUCUUAAAGGAAGCUGUAAGCCUGUAAGAAUACUUAGAUACGAUAAUUCGGCUUUCAUGUUGAUAUUGUUUCUACUCAUUUGUCCUUUAUCUGCACUAUCUUUGUCUAAUUUAUUGCUAGAUCAAUCUUUGGCGAAGAGUCUAAGUACUAAGCUUAUGUUAGUAGGGCAGUCAAGCGGACUGCCUAUGAAGCCUCUUAUUAAAAAGUUUUGCAUUAGUUUAUCGGAAAUGACAGUUUCUUUCGCAUUUAGUUUGCCGUUUUACAUCACAUUUUCACUACUAUCAAAAGCAUCAACUGUUUAUGCUGUUGAUUGCACUUAUCUGAGAACACACUUUCACAACUCCAAGUUCUUUGCUGUCAUCGGUAAGAUCUGGAAACGUCUUUUAUGGACGUAUUAUCGGUAUGUAUGCUUAUAAUUAGCUGCAUUGCCUUGUUUCUUGUUUUUGUCAGCGGUAUCUGCAAUGUGUUCUCAUUCCUAGGCUUUCCACCUCAUAUGAUUACUUAUCCAUUUGUAGUGGUGGGAUUGGUGUUUGUUAUAUUCGCCAACGCUAUUAUUGUAUGCAAACUUUCAAUUGUAAACUCUAUCUUGGAGGAUAUAUCGGGUAGACGGGCUAUUCUUAAAUCGAGUUCCCUGAUUCAAGGACAGAUUCAAGUUGGUCUUCUGAUAUCUUUCGGGUCCAUGAUUGGAAUGGCGUUUGUGGAAGGGUUGUAUGAUCAUAGAGUUAAUACAGUGAGAUAUGGAGAUGGGUCUUCUAGGUUAUGGGAAGGGUCUCUGUUGGUGUUUAUGUAUUCAUUUAUUGUUCUGAUCGACCACAUCAUGAGUGCAGUUUUCUACUUCAUAUGCAAGUCUUCAUCUAGUAUGGAAACCUCAGAAAAGGAAGAUCAAGCACUCGUAGCAACAAUGAUUCCUUCAGCUUGAUAAGUGAAUAUUUCGUUUAUUACACUCCUGCUUCUGAUUCCUAUCUCCCGGAAUGAUAAGCAGACACCAGAUUUGGUUUUAACUGCAGAAGCUUGCAGUGUACAAAAUCUUUGUAUUCAGUUCUAUGCUGAAGUUCUUUUAUGGCAUCUGGAUUCAACUAGGUUUUGUCCCGAUUGAACUGUUGGCAUUCAUAAUUUAUUUCAAGUUACUUUGAGGUGUUAUGAAAUGUUCAUCCAUGUAUUUCACCUUUGUAAAACAACUUAUGUUUAAGAGCCAUAGUGAGAAUAAAACUGAAGUGUUCCUUCUUUCUGUGA